rnacentral:rRNA from 1 species
AGUGAACGCUGGCGGCAGGCCUAACACAUGCAAGUCGAACGAGUGGCGGACGGGUGAGGUAUUUUUCGGAAUCUACUCUGUCGUGGGGGAUAACGUAUGGAAACUUUCGCUAAUACCGCAUACGAUCGAAUGUGCCGAUGUGGGAUUAGCGAGUUGGCGGGGUAACGGCGCACCAAGGCGACGAUCCGUAGCUGGUCUGAGAGGAUGAUCAGCCACACUGGAACUGAGACACGGUCCAGACGCCUACGUGAGGCAGCAGUGGGGAAUAUUGGACAAUGGGCGCAAGCCUGAUCCAGCCAUACCGCGUGGAUGAAGAAGGCCUUCGGGUUGUAGAGUACAUUUGUUGGGGAAGCGGUACCCGAAGAAGAAGCACCGGCUAACUUCGUGCCAGCAGCCGCGGUAAUUC